rnacentral:rRNA from 1 species
AAUAGAUACCCUGGUAGUCCACCCCGUAAACGCUGGGAACUAGUUGUGGGGUCCUUUCCACGGAUUCCGUGACGCAGCUAACGCAUUAAGUUCCCCGCCUGGGGAGUACGGCCGCAAGGCUAAAACUCAAAGGAAUUGACGGGGACCCGCACAAGCGGCGGAGCAUGCGGAUUAAUUCGAUGCAACGCGAAGAACCUUACCAAGGCUUGACAUACACCAGAACACCCUAGAAAUAGGGGACUCUUUGGACACUGGUGAACAGGUGGUGCAUGGUUGUCGUCAGCUCGUGUCGUGAGAUGUUGGGUUAAGUCCCGCAACGAGCGCAACCCUCGUUCUAUGUUGCCAGCACGUAAUGGUGGGAACUCAUGGGAUACUGCCGGGGUCAACUCGGAGGAAGGUGGGGAUGACGUCAAAUCAUCAUGCCCCUUAUGUCUUGGGCUUCACGCAUGCUACAAUGGCCGGUACAAAGGGCUGCAAUACCGUGAGGUGGAGCGAAUCCCAAAAAGCCGGUCCCAGUUCGGAUUGAGGUCUGCAACUCGACCUC